rnacentral:rRNA from 1 species
ACAACUUUCAACAACGGAUCUCUUGGCUCUCGCAUCGAUGAAGAACGCAGCGA